AUUGAACGCUGGCGGAAUGCUUUACACAUGCAAGUCGAACGGCAGCACGGACUUCGGUCUGGUGGCGAGUGGCGAACGGGUGAGUAAUGCAUCGGAACGUGCCCAAUCGUGGGGGAUAACGUAGCGAAAGUUACGCUAAUACCGCAUACGAUCUAAGGAUGAAAGCGGGGGAUCGCAAGACCUCGCGCGAAUGGAGCGGCCGAUGUUAGAUUAGGUAGUUGGUGGGGUAAAGGCUCACCAAGCCGACGAUCUAUAGCUGGUCUGAGAGGAUGAUCAGCCACACUGGGACUGAGACACGGCCCAGACUCCUACGGGAGGCAGCAGUGGGGAAUUUUGGACAAUGGGCGCAAGCCUGAUCCAGUCAUUCCGCGUGCAGGAUGAAGGCCCUCGGGUUGUAAACUGCUUUUGUACAGAACGAAAAGCUCUGGGUUAAUACCCUGGGGUCAUGACGGUACUGUAAGAAUAAGCACCGGCUAACUACGUGCCAGCCGCCGCAGUAA
rnacentral:rRNA from 1 species